CGCGGUGAGAAUAUUAUCCGUUUCUUCUCCCACCAACCGGUUUCGCGGACAGAAGCGUCGAGUCUCCCAGGGAUGCGCGCGACGGCGGCGAAUGACGUGGCAGUGCAAGAAGGAGGGCUCGUGCUUAUGUGGCGCACAGGAUGGCUGAACACUGCAGUGGUACACCCAUCAUCUUAUGAGGGUUCCAUGUGACUGAGUUUGCUCUGCAACAAACAGACAUCUUGUGUCUGUGUUUCCUGGACAUCAGCAGUCCUCCGCCCCAUGCACCCUGGAGAUAUACAAACACCACUGAGCGACUGAUUUAAGAUGUCUGCAAUGUCAUUGAUGGGAUCGAAUGCUCCAUAUACUGUGGAACCAGCCGUUGCGUUCACAAACAGUGGCACAUAACCCUAAAAUAAACAUUUAAAAUCACAUCCACUGUUGAUAGUACAUGGCCUAAACAGCACAGUGCCACUUAAUUAACAGAGAGGCUUAGUACUUUAAGGUCAAAUCACCCAUCAGCUUGAGAAUUCCUGCUUCAUAUCGAUCCACUGAACUCUUCAGGCACUGAGGUUAAAUAUUUCACUCGCUUGUCUUAGCAACAGUGAGUCUGAGCAUCUGCUUACCUUCUGUUUCACAUCAAUGAUCUUGGCCUCUAAGUCAGCAGGUAUGACACGCCCCCUAAAACAAGACAGCCAAUGAGGUGCAAGUGGGAGGGACUCUAGCAAAUAAAACAUGAGCUUUGAAAGAACAUAAUGGUUAAUAGCUAAAAAAAAAAAAAGAUACCUCUCAUCUGUCUUCAGAAGAAU